UACGAAGGGUGCUAGCGUUGUUCGGAAUCACUGGGCGUAAAGCGCACGUAGGCGGAUCUUUAAGUCAGGGGUGAAAUCCCGAGGCUCAACCUCGGAACUGCCUUUGAUACUGGGGAUCUCGAGUCCGGGAGAGGUGAGUGGAACUGCGAGUGUAGAGGUGAAAUUCGUAGAUAUCGAGAGGAACACCUGUGGCGAAGGCGGCCAACUGGACGAGUACUGACGCUGAGACACGAAAGCGUGGGGAGCAAACAGG
rnacentral:rRNA from 1 species